rnacentral:rRNA from 1 species
UACGUAGGUGGCAAGCGUUGUCCGGAAUUAUUGGGCGUAAAGCGCACGCAGGCGGCCUUCUAAGUCUGAUGUGAAAUCCCACGGCUUAACCGUGGAAGGUCAUUGGGAACUGGAAGGCUUGAGGAUAGAAGAGGAAAGUGGAAUUCCACGUGUAGCGGUGAAAUGCGUAGAGAUGUGGAGGAACACCAGUGGCGAAGGCGACUUUCUGGUCUAUUACUGACGCUGAGGUGCGAAAGCGUGGGGAGCAAACAGG